UACGUAGGGAGCAAGCGUUGUCCGGAAUUACUGGGCGUAAAGAGCGUGUAGGCGGCCCUUUAAGUCAGAUGUGAAAACUGAGGGCUCAACCCUGAGACUGCAUCUGAUACUGGAGGGCUUGAGUGCAGGAGAGGAAAGUGGAAUUCCUAGUGUAGCGGUGAAAUGCGUAGAUAUUAGGAGGAACACCAGUGGCGAAGGCGACUUUCUGGACUGUAACUGACGCUGAGACGCGAAAGCGUGGGGAGCAAAC
rnacentral:rRNA from 1 species